UGUAACAGCAACUCCAUGUGGAAGCAGUCCGGCCGUUCCAGUGGAGCGGCUGUUAUAGU
rnacentral:pre_miRNA from 1 species